AAGUAACUCUAAAUUAAAAACACGUGAAGCCAGCAAUUUUCAUAGAAAUAAUUUAUUCAUCAAAAUAAAAAUUCAAAGAACUUCUAUUUUGACAUAAGUACAAUGCCAGAAAAAAAAUCUUCAUCUGGAUUCGUAUCUGGUGUGGUACAAUUUACGGCCAGUUUAUGGACAGAUCCUUUCAGAUGGCAAUUAGUUAAAAGUAUUGGUAUGUUUGGAGUAGCUGUUUUUAUAGCCAAAGAAAUGGCUGCUGCAGAAGCUGCCCCACCAUCAUCUGUAUAGUUGGAAUUUAAAAUAGGUAAUAUUAUACAAUUCAUGGACUUCUAAAAUCUUACAGAAGAAAUGUGUUAUGUGUGUGAAAGAUGAAUAUGUGAUAUAUAGAGUACAAGAAUUUUAUAUAAGAACUAUGAUACUAACUACAAUAAAAAGCAAUAGUAUCAUU